GCCCUGGCUGUCACAGCAAGUUCCUGAUUCUCCUGCCAUGAAGUUGCUGUGAGAGUGAACAAGGCCGUGGGGCAUCUCCAGGCUGAGUGUGAGACGAUGCUCCCACAGACUUACUUCCUGCAAGCCACACCCUGGGGAGAAACAAAAGGAUGCAAUGCCAAGGUGCCAAAGAGCCUGAAGUCAUGCCAGUGGUGGAGUGCUGAUUGUAACGGAUUGGGUUUGGAUGACAUCCCCACUCAUCUGUAAUGGAAGCUGCAUCAAAGGAAACCUUCCACAGAAGCAAGAACUGACCACCAUCUACAUCAACUGGAACCUUUCUGGAAUCCACACAGUGCAAUGAUCCUUAGAAAAAGCUAACUGGGAUUAAGUUGUUACAAUAAGAAGGCCACCAACACUCAACUGGAACCCUUCGUAAUCCCAAUACAAGGAAAGAUUCAGGUCUCGUCCUGAUUGCAGACUUUGUCUUGGUAUUUUAAAAUCUGUAUUAGUGAAUAAUUUCAAAUUUCAAAUCUACCUACAUA